rnacentral:rRNA from 1 species
UUAUUUGAGAGUUUGAUCCUGGCUCAGGAUGAACGCUGGCGGUGUGCCUUAGGCAUGCAAGUCGAACGGUAAUUUCAACUUCGGUUGAGAACGAGUGGCAGACGGGUGAGUAACACGUGAGAAUCUACCUUGUAGUGGGGGAUAGCUCGCCGAAAGGCGGGGUAAUACCGCAUGUGAUCGCAAGAUCAAAGUCGUAAGACGCUAUAAGAGGAGCUCGCGCGCUAUCAGUUUGUUGGUGGGGUAAUGGCCUACCAAGACUAUGACGGCUAGCCGGUGUGAGAGCACGACCGGCCACAAGGCUACUGAGACACGGAGCCUACACCUACGGGUGGCAGCAACCGGGAAUAUUGCGCAAUGGGCGAAAGCCUGACGCAGCGACACCGCGUGUGGGAUGACGCUCUUCGGAGUGUAAACCACUGUGGCGAGGGAAUAAUUAAUGAAGGUACCUCGCUAGAAAGCACCAGCUAACUACGUGCCAGAAGCUUCGGUAAUACGUAGGGUGCGAGCGUUAUCCGGAUUUACUGGGCGUAAAGGGUCCGUCGGCGUCUGUGCAAGUUUUUUGUUUAAGCCUGGGGCUCAACUUCAGAAAAGCAAAAAAUACUGUACGGAUAGAGUUUGUUCGAGGAAGUUGGAAUUCUUGGUGGAGGGGUGAAAUCCGUAGAUAUCAAGAGGAACACCGCGCGCGAAGGCAGGCUUCUAGAACAAUACUGACGCUCAUGGACGAAAGCUUGGGUAGCAAAGCGGAUUAGAGACCCGUGUAGUCCAAGCUGUAAACGUUGUCCGCUAGUUGUUUCCCUCGCACUGGACUCGUACUCCGAGUCUGGUGUGAGGGAAGUGACGUAAGCUAACGCGUUAAGCGGACCGCCUGGGGAGUACGACCGCAAGGUUAAAACUCAAAGGAAUUGACGGGGGAGCGCACAACCGGUGGAGCAUGUGGUUUAAUUCGAUACAAAGCGAAAAACCUUACCUGGGUUUGACAUGUACCUGCACGGUCUAGGAAACUAGAUCUUCUUCGAGAGUGGUACACAGGUGAUGCAUGGCUGUCGUCAGCUCGUGUCGUGAGACGUCCACUUAAGUGUGGUAACG